UGAAUAUAUGGGUAGUAACUGUCUUAAUACAUUGUUAUGAAGUUAGUAAGUAAGUGCAAAUACUUACUCGAUUAAAAAAGACGAGAAGACCCUAGAAGCUUGAAAAUGGUUUUGUUGGGGCGACAGAAUUGCACUUAACCAAUUUUAAUAUACAUGAAGUAUUGUGCUGUAAGAGUAAGCUACUC
rnacentral:rRNA from 1 species